rnacentral:rRNA from 1 species
AUUGAACGCUGGCGGCAGGCCUAACACAUGCAAGUCGAACGAGUGGCGUACGGGUUAGUAAUGUCUGUGAAUCUGCCUGAUGGAUGGGGAUAACUACUGGAAACUGUUGCUAAUACCGCCUUCCUUCAGAUGUGCCCACAUGGGAUGAUGUUGUGGGUGGGGUAACGGCUCACCAAGGCGACGAUCCCUAACUGGUCUGAGAGGAUGACCAGCCACACUGGAACGGAGACACGGUCCAGACUCCUACGGGAGGCAGCAGUGGGGAAUAUUGCACAAUGGGCGCAAGCCUGAUGCAGCCAUGCCGCGUGUAUGAAGAAGGCCUUCGGGUUGUAAAGUACUUUCAGCGGUGAGGCGUUACCCGCAGAAGAAGCACCGGCUAACUCCGUGCCAGCAGCCGCGGUAAUAC